CCUGAACAGGAAACUCCAGAGCUGCAGUGCUUUAGUUUGACUGAAGAUCAGCCAUGAUGUGGCUCUGUGGUGUGCUGAUCUUUACUCAGCUUAAAGAAAUCAUUGCAGCUGAUGAAAUACAGCCACUCUCCCCUGAACAGCGAGUUUUGGAGGGAGCAGAUGUGUCUCUCUCCUGUAGCUACAGUGUUACAGUACAAGGCCUGCAGUGGUAUCGUCAAUAUCCUGGAUCUGAACCAAAAUUUCUAAUUUCUCUCACUGAGUUUAAGAACGAGUCUCUUCCAGCUCUCCGUCUGACAGCAGUGGCUGACAAAGUAAAGAAACAAGUGGAUCUGAAGAUAUCUAGAACCGCAGUGUCUGACUCUGCCCUGUACUACUGUGCUCUGGUGCCCACAGUGACAGGAAAUACAGAUACACUGUACAAAAACACACUGCACUCACACUGCACUUCAAAUUACUUAUUCUGAUCAGUGUAAAAUGUGCAUUCAGGUCAACGAGCACAACACCCUCCUGUGUCCUUUAACCCGAUAAACAGCAUGUUUAUACAUCUCCUGUUCUGAGCUGUUCUGAGCAGUCUAUUACAGACUGUCUUUA